UGUCAUGGCGAGGGCAGGCUGGGGGGGGAGAAAUAUGAGACAUGUCCAGGCUGUGCCAGCAGCAGCAGCUAUAAUAAAGACUGCUCUCCUCUGCACUGCCACUUGUGUGCACGGCAGCAACACGGUAUAUUAAUUACCCAGCGCCUUCUCUGUGUCAUUCACCAGUGAGGGGAAUGAAGAAGAAAAAUUUCCAAGGCACGUCCUUAAAAUAAAGCAGCACUGUACGUGCUCAGAGUAUUAACUUCCACACAGAUGACCCAUUUUUCCAUCUCAAAGGAUGGGUGGAAAAAAAGAGAGAGGGGUGGGUGGUGGUGGUGGUGGUGGUGGUGGUGGUGGGUUGGUGGGGGGGGGAGGCAACAGUGGAGCCAAUCACGUGAAUCUAAAGCAGGCUACAAAUCCUGGCGGAUUUCUCUUCCUCUUUGGGGCAAUGUCUUGCUGUCAACUGUUUUCCAUUUCUCUCCUACUCCCCCCCCGUCGUAAUUUACUGCUGCCCUUCCUCCAUGCAGGUCUCAUCCCUCCUCCAUGUGUAAACCCAGCCAGCCUGUUGUUUACAUUCCCAGUGAGCUGCAGGGUGUGGACAGACGACCCCCCAACACUCUCUAAUGUCAUCCUGCCCCCCCACCCUGCCUCCAGCCUCCACCUAUCUCCUCAUCACCAGAUCCCUGAUAAAGCGGAAAUUCAAUAGCACCACUCUGCCCAGAGAGAACUCCUCGCAGCGAGCUGUUUUCUGAGACGAGGCUUUGAUGUGGAUGAGGGAGGUGAGGCGUCGUGUGCCCAGAUGCCCAGACACUGUGGUUAAGGGGGUUUUAUCACACAGACAGGAGGACAGCGCUCAUCUCCUGCCCGCCCAUCUUUCACCGCGGCGGGAGGCUGAAUGUGACAACCAAUGCUCCCCAGCUGCUAGGGGGGGCCAGGCCCGCGAAACCACAAGCAGAUAAUGAAUGCCGCACCAUCGUGACAACUUGCACUUUUAUGGAAAGGGGAGGAAGGACAUCUCUGGCACGGACGCUCGCAGCAUAUGAUGAAACAUCCCCCAUAAACCACCAGACAAUCACAGGGAGGGCAGGGAAGCAUGUGUGGAAUCCGAGACGGGAAACCUCGGCUGAUUUAUGACCGCUACCAAAAAAGGUCUGUUUCCAAGUAAACGUGUUUAGAGCUUAAUUGCUGGAAAACCGAAGAGAGAUUGCUUUCCAAAUGCAACCACAACAUAUGUAAACGAUGCAUUACGGUUGCAUUUCUCCAUGAUCUUCCCCACUUUUCCAGCUCUGAAUAAGCCACAUGCUAGUCAUAAACAAUUUCCCCCAAAAAUGAAGAGUUUUCCAAUUAGGUCAGUAUUUGCUAUUCUUGGUUUCCCCUCCUCUCACAGUCAUGUUAUUUUGUAUUCUAUACAUCACAUAAAUUACUUUGCAUACCCUUCUGCUUUCAAGGCAGAUGUUACUAGAAAAGCUUUGAUCUUCUUCCAAUAGCAAGCCUGAAAUAUCUUCUAAAUAAAGGAGUCAUAAUUAUGCACACAUAUUUUUUAUGUAUUAUUCACCAGGGUUUUAUCCAACUCUGGCUGAAUUAAUACAUGCAAAGGAGUAAAUACUUUGUGCGUUAUACAGAAAAGGACAGCAGCGAUGUGAAAAUGAUGCCCGACAUCCGAGUGCUGUGUUGUUAACUGCUGUGCCGGGGAUGUCAGAGUCCAUUUUCUAGCGAGGCAGCUCAAAAAUAGACAGGAGCUCCAGUAAUAAAUAAGCCUACUUUGGGAAAGUUUUAUUUUGGCUCAGAGGGAAGAGGUUACAUAACGCAUGAAAUACUCCUUCUUUUCUUUUUUGGCUCAACAAGAAAAAAAGAAAGAAAUGUAACCUUUGUCGAGAUAAGAUGCUGGAGGAAAAAAAUGUCCAAAUAUAAACGUUCCUGUACAUACAUAUUCAUACUGCUGUAUAAAGAUUAUAAUGAAGUUGGAUGUGUCACUGUCACCUGCAUCAUUUAGCGAUUUUCCACACUGAUAGUGAAUAUAUCGUAUGUGUAAGUGUGAAAACCUCGGUUAACCCACUACACAACAGCUUUUCGUCAUUUACUCUCCUGUGACAGCGAGUUUCUUUCCCCCAAAAGGAAGCGCAGCGUCGGUGAUGACGCCAUGCUGGUCUGGUCUAUAGCUUAUAGUUUGGAGACAUGUUUCAACUUCUUCUGUUUGUUAUUGUCUAUUAGCGACACAAGAGUGUUUAUCCCCAAAAGGGGGCGUGGCCAUGCAAGUCUACUCUGGAUGAGGUAUUGCCAGUCUGAUGUAUACAGAAACUAGUGCAGUUAUACUGUACUGUCCUUUUAUAAAUAUGUGUGUGUUUGUGUGCAGCAGAAUGACAUUUUGAACAUUUUGUCUGAGUCUUUCACAAAACAGGAAUGACUGCACAGCUCUGCUCAGUACGAUAAACAUAACAACUAUGAGUCAGGGGUGAAACUGCCUUUUAAGGGCAAUAAGAAAGAAGCCAUUUAUAUGUGCAGCUAAUGUUGCUCAUUCUAAUAGUAGCUGAUGAAUCGGACCACCUAACCUCAAAUACCAGUUCAAUGAGUUCAAACCACGUGCUGAUUGUGCUGCAAAAGGCCAGGGAAAGUUUGUUUACAUCAAUGUCUGACUGAAAUAUGUUUGGGGGUUUCCACUGGACGGGAAAUUAUGUCGUCAGCUCACGAUGCAUGCGAGCUGAAUUACAGAAGCAAAGUUCAUGUCUUUCUGUUCCUGGUUGCAAAAAUAGACUCUGCACGGCAACCUAACCGAAACUACCGUCUGUUUAAAAAAAUGGAUGUGAAAACAAUGUUCAUUUGCAUUUUUCUGCGGGGAAUAUUUCCUCUGUUAUUUACCGAGUUGUCUGUCGUCGUGUCCUCCCCCCCCCCCCCCCCCCCCCCCCCCUCCCCAGACGAGCCCGGCAGAUUAAGGGGAUAUGUUACCAUCUUGUUUUUUUUUCUAAAUGGAUACACAUGUGGCACAUCUGGGUCCAAGCCUGACUCAUUACUCACUUUUUUAUGUUCCAUUCUCUGCAGCCAUGGCAACUGCUGCAUGUUUGGCAGAAAGCUUUUGAAGGCAGUGGAAAAAGAGAGAGAGAGAGAGCCUAGGGAGGGAGCAUAAAGGGAGAGCGAGGGAGGGAGGGAGGGAAGGAGAGCGAGCUCUCAGUAGUUGGCCUACAUCCAGUGUAAUCAUGCCAUGGAGCCGAAAUGAGGCCUUUGGCAGCACACCAGGUUUCUGAGAACAAAGAUGUGAGCUUCUAAUGUUGGCGGUGGGGCCUGCUUGGCAUCCUUUGCCAUUUCCCAGCAGCCCUUGCCUUGGCCGACUGCCAGGGCCCCCCCCCCCCCCCCCCCCCUCCUCUCCCCACCCGCCACCCCCACUGGGACUGCAAAGAGGAUCAGAAUAAA